CAGUGAUAAACUGGAGGAAGGUGGGGAUGACGUCAAGUCAUCAUGGCCCUUACGACCAGGGCUACACACGUGCUACAAUGGCGCAUACAAAGAGAAGCGACCUCGCGAGAGCAAGCGGACCUCAUAAAGUGCGUCGUAGUCCGGAUUGGAGUCUGCAACUCGACUCCAUGAAGUCGGAAUCGCUAGUAAUCGUGGAUCAGAAUGCCACGGUGAAUACGUUCCCGGGCCUUGUACACACCGCCCGUCACACCAUGGGAGUGGGUUGCAAAAGAAGUAGGUAGCUUAACCUUCGGGAGGGCGCUUACCACUUUGUGAUUCAUGACUGGGGUGAAGUCGUAACAAGGUAACCGUAGGGGAACCUGCGGUUGGAUCACCUCCUUACC
rnacentral:rRNA from 3 species